AUGAACGCUAGCUACAGGCUUAACACAUGCAAGUCGCGGGGCAGCAUGUCGGUUGCUUGCAACCGAUGAUGGCGACCGGCGCACGGGUGAGUAACGCGUAUCCAACCUGCCCUUCACCACGGAAUAAUCCAGUGAAAAUUGGUCUAAUACCGUAUGAGGUCAUACGAUGGCAUCAGAAUAUGACGAAAGGUUUGGCGGUGAAGGAUGGGGAUGCGUCUGAUUAGCUUGUUGGUGAGGUAACGGCUCACCAAGGCGACGAUCAGUAGGGGUUCUGAGAGGAAGGUCCCCCACAUUGGAACUGAGACACGGUCCAAACUCCUACGGGAGGCAGCAGUGAGGAAUAUUGGUCAAUGGGCGAGAGCCUGAACCAGCCAAGUAGCGUGCAGGAAGACGGCCCUAUGGGUUGUAAACUGCUUUUAUAUGGGGAUAAAGUGAGUUACGUGUAGCUUAUUGCAGGUACCAUAUGAAUAAGGACCGGCUAAUUCCGUG
rnacentral:rRNA from 1 species